CAGAAACAUGACUUCCUCUUUCUUUGCUGCUUACCAGCCAAGGCACAGGUCAGAGUAUUUUGCUCCAAACUGUUGUACUGAUAUUGCAAAUUGUCAUUAGUUAAUCAUUUAUUGCUUAACAUUCAGUUUUGCUCCAAACUGUUUUUAUUAAUAUUGCUAUGGUCACUGUAGUUAGACACCUUAUGCUAGACAUUCAGUUUUAAUCCAAACUGGUUUUCUGGAUAUUGCAAUGGUCACUUUAAUUAAACUUUAUUAAUUGACUUUCAGUUUGCUCCAACUGUUUUUAUUAAUAUUGCUAUGGUCACUUUAGUUAGAUUUUUAAUGCUAGACAUUCAGUUUUGCUCCAAACCGUUUCUGGAUAUGCAUGGCCACUUUAGUUAAACUUUAUUAGCUUGUCCUGCAAUUUUGGCCUAAACGUUUUUCAUUAUUUUGCACUUGCCUUCCAUUUGGACUUGUAUAGUGUGAUAUUCUCCCCCUGUUACCCUUCCCCCGAAUUAACCCUGUUUUUUCUGCUUUAUUAGCCUGUUUGGUUUUCUGUUGCUGGUACCUUUUCUUUCCUAUGCUUUACUCUGGUCUCGCACGGAUCGCAGCGUUUUACCGCGAUCGCGGCAUUUUA